AUUGAACGCUGGCGGAAUGCUUUACACAUGCAAGUCGAACGAUGAACCUUAGCUUGCUAAGGGGAUUAGUGGCGAACGGGUGAGUAAUGUAUCGGAACGUAUCCAAUAAUGGGGGAUAACUAGUCGAAAGAUUAGCUAAUACCGCAUACGUCCUACGGGAGAAAGCUAGGGACCUUCGGGCCUGGCGUUAAUGGAGCGGCCGAUAUCUGAUUAGCUAGUUGGUGGGGUAAAGGCUCACCAAGGCGACGAUCAGUAGCUGGUCUGAGAGGACGACCAGCCACACUGGAACUGAGACACGGUCCAGACUCCUACGGGAGGCAGCAGUGGGGAAUUUUGGACAAUGGGCGAAAGCCUGAUCCAGCCAUUCCGCGUGAGUGAAGAAGGCCUCCGGGUUGUAAAGCUCUUUCGCAAGGGAAGAAAACUUAAGCUCUAACAUAGCUUGAGGUUGACGGUACCUUGAUAAGAAGCACCGGCUAACUACGUGCCAGCAGCCGCCGUAA
rnacentral:rRNA from 1 species